UCUCGCACUCACAGUUGCGAUAUACCGACUGAUCCAUUCUCUAACAAAAUGUCUAACAUUCUAUAUCCGCUCGUUCGGGCGCAGCUGCUGCUGGACAACCGGGCGGUCGGUUGAAAUACUCAUAGCUAUACGAAUCUCAUGCUGCGAUCUUUAUGAAAUUUGGCCUUAAAAGACAGAUGGCGCGAGCGAAUAGUUGGAGAAAAUUCUCUCAUUGGCAUGAGCAAAUAGAUGGCGCUGCUCAAAGCCCUUUAAUAAAGGAAAACAAAAAAAUUCUCUCAUUGGAAUUUGACAGUUUGAUU